UAAAAAUUAGUUAAAAUAUAAUAUUAAAAUGUCAUUUUAAAGUUAUUAAAAAUUAAUAUUUUUAU
rnacentral:tRNA from 1 species